UGCUCCCUGGCAAUGGACAAACAGACACCUUGUUGGUGUUUUUCUUAGAUCAGUCAGGGCCAGAGCAAUUGGCAGUCCUUUGUUCAUCCUAGCUUGAUGCUUGUCUUAGUGAUGAAAAGUGUUUUAUGCCUAGGAUUCAUAA